GAUGAACGCUGGCGGCGUGCCUAAUACAUGCAAGUCGAGCGAACAGACGAGGAGCUUGCUCCUCUGACGUUAGCGGCGGACGGGUGAGUAACACGUGGAUAACCUACCUAUAAGACUGGGAUAACUUCGGGAAACCGGAGCUAAUACCGGAUAAUAUUUUGAACCGCAUGGUUCAAUAGUGAAAGACGGUUUUGCUGCCACUUAUAGAUGGAUCCGCGCCGCAUUAGCUAGUUGGUAAGGUAACGGCUUACCAAGGCAACGAUGCGUAGCCGACCUGAGAGGGUGAUCGGCCACACUGGAACUGAGACACGGUCCAGACUCCUACGGGAGGCAGCAGUAGGGAAUCUUCCGCAAUGGGCGAAAGCCUGACGGAGCAACGCCGCGUGAGUGAUGAAGGUCUUCGGAUCGUAAAACUCUGUUAUUAGGGAAGAACAAAUGUGUAAGUAACUAUGCACGUCUUGACGGUACCUAAUCAGAAAGCCACGGCUAACUACGUG
rnacentral:rRNA from 1 species